CGAACGGGUGAGUAACACGUGGGCAACCUGCCCAAAAGAGGGGGAUAACACCUGGAAACAGGUGCUAAUACCGCAUAACCAUAGUUACCGCAUGGUAGCUAUGUAAAAGGUGGCUAUGCUACCGCUUUUGGAUGGGCCCGCGGCGCAUUAGCUAGUUGGUGGGGUAAAGGCUUACCAAGGCAAUGAUGCGUAGCCGAACUGAGAGGUUGAUCGGCCACAUUGGGACUGAGACACGGCCCAAACUCCUACGGGAGGCAGCAG
rnacentral:rRNA from 1 species